ACCUGGGUGGCUCAGUUGGUUAAGCAUCUGACUUCAGCUCAGGUCAUGAUCUCACAGUUCAUGGGUAUGAUCCCCGUCUCAGGCU
rnacentral:tRNA from 1 species